rnacentral:rRNA from 1 species
UACGUAGGGUGCAAGCGUUAAUCGGAAUUACUGGGCGUAAAGCGUGCGCAGGCGGCUAUGCAAGACAGAUGUGAAAUCCCCGGGCUCAACCUGGGAACUGCAUUUGUGACUGCAUAGCUAGAGUACGGUAGAGGGGGAUGGAAUUCCACGUGUAGCAGUGAAAUGCGUAGAUAUGCGGAGGAACACCGAUGGCGAAGGCAAUCCCCUGGACCUGUACUGACGCUCAUGCACGAAAGCGUGGGGAGCAAACAGG